rnacentral:misc_RNA from 1 species
GCACUGUUUAUACUUUUAUUUUGAAACAAAACAUAAAGAUAGAAUAACAAUUACGUUAUAUUACAUUGCAUUUCGUCCUGCCAAUCGAAGACCUUAACUGCAGCGAGUUUUCUUCCUUGUUUUGCGUUUGAGGCAGAGACUCUUCUUGUACAUCUUUUCUUACUUGUUGUGACCCUUCACGCUGCAUUUCGUCUCUAUGCUCAAAUUCUUUAGCCUUGUCAAGAGGAAGCUUGGCAUAAUUUCCUAAUAGGGGAACGACUGCACGAGUGAAGUAGUAGGAAAUAUAUCUAAAAAAACGUGGCCUAAGUCCAAGUGGAUAUGAAUGUGCUGCAAACAUCAGCAACAUAACGACAACAGAGAUGAUUCCUGUGAUGAGAGUAUAGGAGCCAAGCCAAGAAACUUGGCUUACUCCUAGAUGGAUUGCAGCCAUGAAUGCCACAGACAUCAUGCAAAGAGCUAAUGCAAAAAGAAAUAAUGAGAAGAAAUAGACAAUUGCUACUAAAAACAUAUCACUUAUCAUCAUAUAGAGGACAGAGAAAAUGCCGAUGACGGAGCUAUAAAAAGCUGUGGUGUUGCAUAUCACGAAUAAUCGAAACAUAUGCUUGUUUAACAUAGUUGACAUUCCUUUUUCUUGGUGCUCAGAGCUAUUAUAUCCACCAGGCACAGUUAAAGCAGCAGCAAAGGUCACUGUGGCCACAAGAGUUUGCAGCAGUAAAAAGGUACCAAUCCUUUCUUUGAACCAUUCAAUUUUGAUUGAAUUUCUCCUCUUGGAAGUUUGCCUCUUUUGUUUGUGAAUCAUCAGAUCUAAAUUUCGACGACCAAUACCAACAGACCACAAAGCACCAUUUGUUAAAUUGUAUUGGGCUCGUAUCCCACCAUUGGAGAACCUGGGACUGACAUCAAAAGCUGUUAAGCUUUCAUUGUUGAGCAGAUUUAUGUUUGUUUUCUUCUCCCAUGUUAGAGUUAGAACAACAGCAGGAUGGGAGUGCAUUGCAGCCAAAUGCAAUGGAGUGUUUCCAUUUAUGUCUUUCUCAUUCAAAAGCUUCACCAGCGUAGGAGUUUCAAGAAUGUAUUUCACCACAUUAUUUUUUCCACUCUUAGCAGCAACAUGAAGAAUAUUCUGACCUUCUUUGUUGAGCAACUCUUCUGGAUAUGGCCAUUGCUUAAGCAACUCCUUUAUUACCUUAACGUGCCCUUUUUUGCUUGCAAUGUGAAUGGAAAGGAAGCCCUUAUUAUCCAUUUCAAACAUGCUACUUGGAAAUUGGCUUGAAAGAAACCUAACUGCAUCAAUAUUACCUCUGUGUGCUGCCCAGUGAAGAACAUUUCUUCUUUUUCCAUCUUUUAACUGCAUGAGCUCUGGAUUUACCUUUGCCAUCUCUUCUAGCAUAUCUAUUUUCCCUUCGAUAAUGGUAGCAUGAGCUGGUGGGUUUCCUUCAAGCUUAUUAACUAAAUCACUAUGCCCUGUUGGAGCUUGCAGAAGCAAUCGAAAAAUCUGAAAGUCGCCUAUUUUGACAGCCAUAUAGAGAGGAGACCAGCCUUCCUUGUUCUGAUAAUACCACACUUGUGGAUCUGCAGAGAUCAAGAACUGAGCUACAUCAUGGUGACGAUUCAUCACAGCUUCAUGCAAAGCAGUGUUUCCAUGUACAUUUUUUAUCCUUUGUAACCCAUGACCACCAGUACUAGAUGAGUCUGAAGAAUCUUUGCUAGGGAAAUCUUUUCCACAGGAUACAAGAAUUUGAAUGGUAUUAAGCAUGCCACCUCUAGCAGCAAUGUGUAGAGCAGUAUCUCCUUUGAUAUUCCUCUUGCAAAUAAGCCAAGGAAAGUGAUAUGCAAUGAGUUGGGCAAUCUCUUCAUUCCCCGAACUUGUCACCAUAUGAAGCAAAGAAUUUUCCGAGGGGCCAAGUUGAUUGAUGAUGCUUGACACACACAGUUUUUUCUCUGCUGAAAUUCGUUCCACAGCAUCAAUGAAGCUGUGAACACUGGCUUCACUUGCAGCUUCCCGCAGGGAAGGAUCCAUGAAGUAAUUAUCUUUAGUAGCAGGCUGUAGAGAUUGUUGCAGUGCUUCUGUAUUCAUUUGUAGCCGCUUGCUUCUCUGCCCCCAGCUUUCUCCAUUAGCUGCGAUUACUGUUAUUUUCAGAUCAAUCGAGUCUGCCAUUGGUAAACGCCUUCGUG